AUCAAAUGAUCAAAGAUGUUUGGUCCACCCCUGAAUUUCAAAGGAGGUCUAAAUCUGCUAGGAGGAAUCGAUUAACCAAAACAGAUGGUAAAAUAAGCACUCAUUCUGGAGGAACAAUGUCAUUUGCAUCAUAUCGAGCUAACAUGCAAGAGGAAGCUGGUGGAAAAGAACCUCCAUGGGAUGAUGUCUUUUCAGCUUUGCAUCAAAGUACUAAGCAGUCUGGUGGCUUCGUCGACAACAAGUCCAAAAAAGUGGUUGAAAAUUAUAAAAUGGAGAUGAUUUCAAAGUAUGGAACUAAUCGGGAAAAUCAUCCUUCAUUUGAUGGAGCAGCUUAGUGUGUGGCUUCAAGAGGAGUUACAAAGGGUAAGGUAUAUGGUGCACCUCGUAUGCCAAAAUCUAUAGUUAGUCCAAGCUCUUCAUCACAUUCCUACUCAGUGGAGUCAUCAUAUCCCAGUUCAUCGUAUCGAGCAUUGCAAAAGGAGAUAAAUGAUAAAGAAGAG